rnacentral:lncRNA from 1 species
AUGAUUAAAAAGGGUAUUGUAGGAAAAUUAAAACAAAUUAGUUCCUAAUUUUUCUCAUCUCUCUCUAAAUUAAAAUAAAAUUCAUACACGGUUCGGCAAUUUCUUCUCUCUCAAUCGCACAAUCACAUCAAAAGGGAUCUGAGAACCCUUCCUACAAAUCGCAGAUAAAGCAUGAUCUAAUCGGCCUCUCGCGAUAGCCCUAUCGCAACUCUCAGGCUUUGAGAGAUUAUCAUGCUUUUGACCAUUUGAGGUGUUUGCUUUGGAAAUACAUCUAAGCUCAAUGGAGAAGAAAGAGACGAGUGAAAAUGCAUGUUUAGGUUGAUAAAUGUAUAUAACGAGUUGACGUUAGUGUAUAUAAUUUUGAACAAUUUUAAUAUGCACACGUGUACACAUUUUUUAUCCAACACAUGAGUGAAACAUCUAUACACAUAUGUGUAAUUGUAGAUUUGAAUUAUGUCUUUGAGCAUUUCCACCCGUUUUUAUUAUACUCACGAUCAAUUUAA